rnacentral:rRNA from 1 species
GAGUUUGAUCGUGGCUCAGAUUGAACGCUGGCGGCAUGCCUUACACAUGCAAGUCGAACGGCAGCACGGGAGCUUGCUCCUGGUGGCGAGUGGCGAACGGGUGAGUAAUGCAUCGGAACGUAUCCUGGAGUGGGGGAUAACGUAGCGAAAGUUACGCUAAUACCGCAUAUUCUGUGAGCAGGAAAGCGGGGGACCUUCGGGCCUCGCGCUCUUGGAGCGGCCGAUGUCGGAUUAGCUAGUUGGUGAGGUAAAGGCUCACCAAGGCGACGAUCCGUAGCAGGUCUGAGAGGAUGAUCUGCCACACUGGAACUGAGACACGGUCCAGACUCCUACGGGAGGCAGCAGUGGGGAAUUUUGGGACAAUGGGGGCAACCCUGAUCCAGCCAUGCCGCGUGAGUGAAGAAGGCCUCGGUG